UAGGGAAUCUUCCGCAAUGGGCGAAAGCCUGCCGGAGCAACGCCGCGUGAGUGAUGAAGGUCUUCGGAUCGUAAAACUCUGUUAUUAGGGAAGAACAAAUGUGUAAGUAACUAUGCACGUCUUGACGGUACCUAAUCAGAAAGCCACGGCUAACUACGUGCCAGCAGCCGCGGUAAUACGUAGGUGGCAAGCGUUAUCCGGAAUUAUUGGGCGUAAAGCGCGCGUAGGCGGUUUUUUAAGUCUGAUGUGAAAGCCCACGGCUCAACCGUGGACGGUCAUUGGAAACUGGAAAACUUGAGUGCAGAAGAGGAAAGUGGAAUUCCAUGUGUAGCGGUGAAAUGCGCAGAGAUAUGGAGGAACACCAGUGGCGAAGGCGACUUUCUGGUCUGUAACUGACGCUGAUGUGCGAAAGCGUGGGGAUCAAACAGG
rnacentral:rRNA from 1 species